AAGUCGUAACAAGGUUUCCGUAGGUGAACCUGCGGAAGGAUCAUUAACGAGUUUUGAAAGGGGUUGUCGCUGGCCUUUUAAUCGAGGCAUGUGCACACCCUGCUCAUCCACUCUCAACCCCUGUGCACUUAUUGUAGGAAUGGUGAAAGGUUGGACACGUUUGUGCUCAACUGGAAGCCCUUCUUAUGUUUUAUUACAAACGCUUUAGUUAUAGAAUGUUCAUUUGCGUAUAACGCAUUUAUAUACAACUUUCAGCAACGGAUCUCUUGGCUCUC
rnacentral:misc_RNA from 1 species